UACGUAGGGCGCAAGCGUUAUCCGGAAUUAUUGGGCGUAAAGAGCUCGUAGGCGGUUUGUCGCGUCUGCCGUGAAAGUCCGGGGCUCAACUCCGGAUCUGCGGUGGGUACGGGCAGACUAGAGUGCGGUAGGGGUGACUGGAAUUCCUGGUGUAGCGGUGGAAUGCGCAGAUAUCGGAAGGAACACCAGUGGCGAAAGCGGACUUCCUGGUCCAGCACCGACGUCAGGCACGAAAGCGUGGGGAGCAAACAG
rnacentral:rRNA from 1 species